UGUAGUGACCCUGACUGCGAAGGGCACCGCUGCGAGAACGGCGUGUACGACCCGCAGCAGGAUGAUGGGGAUGAGAGUGCCGACGAGGACAGCUGCUCCGACCACAGCUCCAGCACCUCGAAGCCUCCACCAACCAGAAGGAGGGCAAGUACUGCGACUGCUGCUACUGCGAGUUCUUCGGGCAUGGAGGGCCUCCAGCUGCACCAACAAGUAGAAAUUAUGCAGAAAUGAGGGAGAAACUUCGCUUCACGGCUGACCAAGAGGAAAGAAGAGCAACCUAAAAAAAUGGAUCAGAUCUCAGAACGGGAAAGUGUUGUUGACCAUCGAAGGGUAGAGGAUUUGUUACAGUUUAUAAACAGCUCAGAGACCAAGCCAGUGAGCAGCACGCGUGCGGCGCCAAGCGAGCCAGGCACAAGCAGAGAAAGCUGGAGGAGAAGGCACGCUUAGAAGCCGAGGCCAGGGCUCGGGAGCACCUGCAUCUCCAGGAGGAGCAACAGCGACAGGAGGAUGAGGAUGAGGAAGAGGAAGAUGAGGAGCAGCGUUUCAAGGAGGAAUUUCAGCGGCUUCAGGAGCUGCAGAAGCUAAGAACUGUGAAAAAGAAGAAGAAAGAGAGGCCAAGCAAAGACUGUCCCAAGUUGGACAUGCUGGCCAGGAAUUUUCAGGCAGUGACAGAGUCUGUCCCUAACUCUGAAAACAUCCACAAUGGCUCAGUAGAGCCAACUGGAGAACCAGAAACCUCAUCUCGCUCCCCUUCCAGACACAUGAACCACUCAGAGCCGAGGGCAGGGCUGGGAACCAAUGAGGACACUGUAGAUUCUGUUGUGGACACCAGGGACUCCAAACUUCUCCUCCCCAAGGAGGUCAACGGGAAGCAGCACGAGCCACUUGCUUUUCUCUUCGACAUAAUGCAUCACCAUAAAGAGGGAAAUGGCAAACAGAAGCUAAAGACCACUAAGAGCAACAACGAACCAGCAAGGAAGACCACAGAGUCCCCCAGAGUGCUAGAGGGGCAGCCUAAGCCACGGGCCCAGAUGGAACCAAAAACUAAGGUGGUUGAACUCGCUUCCCUCACAGAGCAGAAAAAGAGAGGAGAGAAAAAGCCAAUAGUAACAACAAUAACAAAAAGCAACUGAACCACAUCAAGGAGGAAAAGUCAACCCCAGCGCUUCCUGAGCCCCUCUCCCCCAACCAGCAUCUGCAGAAUGGCCGGCUGGUACUGGCUGACUCUCCUCAGCCGAAGGGCAAGAGCAAGAAAAGCAAGAAGAAGAAAGGAGACCGAGCCAGCAGUUCAAUUGAUGAUGUCUUUCUGCCUAAAGAUAUCGACCUGGACAGUGUGGAUAUGGAUGAGACAGAGAGGGAAGUGGAGUAUUUCAAAAGGUGAGUGUGAGUCCCUCAUGGCCAAGACACUGUGGCCAGUGGGUGCCACACGUAGUUGGUUUUCUCUUUCCUCCUGUCCUGAACAAGUCUCAUCAGUGAGCCAACUGGCUGCUCAGCCAUGUUCCACACACACUUUCACAUCCGCCCCAACACGUCCCAGGAACAGUCGAUGGCUGUGGUCUUCAUGGGGCUAGACCAGCAGAGCUAUCUGGAGAAGCCUUCCAGGCCAUCCUCCUGUGUGACUUUUGCACACAGAGUGGCUGGCCUGCCUUUGAGAGAAAAGAAUCCCUGUAGAUACUGACUCAGCUUUCCUGAUGGUGACUCCUACUGUGUUCCAACAUACUUCAUCCACUCUGUAAACUUUGGCAACAGAAAUUUACUUUAAGGUGCCUUGUUUUUCCUUUGGAAAUACUUUACCUUCUUUGCUUUAAGUAAUACACACAGAAGAAGCAAAGUAAUGUAAAAAUUCAUGAACUUGAAGCCAGAUUUGUUGGUGCAUGCCUAUAAUCCCAGCACUCUGGAGGCUGAGGCAGGAGAAUUGCUGCGAGUUCAUGGCUACCCUGGCCUACGUACUAAGUUCAAGGCUACCCUGGACUACAUAGUGAGACCCUCUCUCAAAAAACAACAAAAAGAAAAAAAAAAAAAUUAAAAAAAAACAACUCAGUACUAAAACCAAACACUGUCACACUUUCAUAAAAAAAAAAAAAAAGAAAGAAAAAAAGAAAAAAUCAUGAACUCAUUCCUGAAAUAUUGGAAAAGUUUCAGUGUUCCUGGAAGUUAUACCUUUUAUAUGAUAUAUAUAAUACAGAUAUUAAUAGGUAGAGAAAAGUAUUCACGAAAGUAAAACAUCUGUUUCUUAUCAAAACUCUUAACAAAUAUGGACCAAAAUGCCAGAUCAUGUAAGAAAAGGGAAAAGUGUCCGUCUGCAGGAAAGGUGUGUGUCCCCGGGAGACGCGGGGGCUGUCCUGAGGGUUAGGGUCCAUUUCCACAGCUCCCAUUUGUAGUGGCCCGAAAAGAAGAAAACAGGGUAAGGACUUAGGAGGAAGACAUGAAACUCUUGUUAUUUUCAAAUGAUAGAGUGUAGGAAAUUAAGAACCUAUAGAUAAAUUACUUGAAUUAUUAUUAAAAUAUCUGAGCAAGGGUAUUUAGUAUAAAAUCAGUCCCCAGAAUUCUGCUUCAAUGUCACAGACACAGGAGUUUGUUUGGGUUUUUUUUUGGUAACAGGAAUCAAACUUGGAACCUUGCACUUGCAAGGCAGGGGGUGGAAUCACUGAGCUAAAUCCCUGGCCCGACACUUAGGAGCUUUAAAGGGACUUUGGGACCCUUUCCCUCACACUCUUGCCCAACCAUAGUCUUCUCUAGGCAUUUUGGUUUUUGUUUUUUUUUUUUUUGGUACCAGGAAUUGAACUCGGAACCUUGUGCUUGCAAAGCGGAGCCACUGAGCUAAAUCCCCAGCCCAGGCAUUUUGUUUUUUAAAGACAGGGUCUCGCUAUGUGGUUCAGGCUGGCCUUGAACUCACUAGGUGGCCCAGGCUGGCCUCGAACUCAUGGUUAUGCUCCUGCCUCAGCCUCCACAGUGCUGAGAUUACAGGCGUGUGCCACCACACAUGGGUAGGAUUUUCUUUUUUCUUCUUUCUUUCUUUUUUUUUUUUCCUGAGACAGGGUCUCGCUGUGUAGCCCAGGCUGGCCUGAAACUCAGAUGAUCCUUCUGCCUCAGCCUCAGCCUCCUGAGUGCUGGGAUUACAGAUAUGCACCACCACGCCUGGCAGGUAGGAGUAUUUUAAAAUCCUAAAACAAGCAGGAGAGUUCUAUAAGAACCACCUCUCCUCAGUGCUCCCAAAGCAGCAGACAUCCCAGUUCUCCAGGAGGCUGAGGCAGGAGGAUGGCAAGUUCGAGCCCAGCCUGAGCAAUUUCACAACUUAGUGAGACCCUCUCUCAAAAUAAGAAAUUAUAGUGGGCCGAGAAUUUAGCUCAGUGGCACCGUGCCUGCCUUGCAAGUGCAAGGUCCUGAGUUUGAUCCCCAGAACCUAAAAAGAAAAAAGAAAUUAAAGUUUUUACUUUCAUGUUUGAAAAAUUCCAUAUUAAAGAGAUUCUUUAAUUUUGUACACACAUAAGUCAUAAGGAAGAAAUAAAUACAUAUACUACAGCCAUUAAAGUAAGAACACUGGAAAUAGCUUCACUGCAGUUGAUUUUAAAACAGAAGUGGAAUCAUGUACAAAAUAAAUCAACCCAAGGGAAAAUAACAAGGCUGAGUGGUGGGAAACUGCUAGAGCCAUCGAGUAGUAGCCAUGAGUCCUCUCCACGGGAAGCUGCAUACUGCCACGUCACAAAGGUGUUUUCCUGCCUGUCCGAGAGUGGAAGGGAACUUCAACCCAAGGGCGACAGCACUGGCAAAGGGAAUGCCCCACUUCACUGUACAGGACCAGUACUGUUGCCAUACCCAGGUCUGCCACAGAGCACCAGAGAAAAGGAAAAACUAGCAGAUUGUCUCUCAUGAAUAUUAGGUGCAAAAACCCUAAAGAAAGGAUUCUUGUAGCAAAUCCAGUGGUGUGUUUUCAGAAGCAGUGUACAUGACCAGGCUGGUCUGUGUCCAGAGUGAGGUGUGUAGUAUCGGAAAGCACACCCACAUUAUUUGGUACAUUAAUAUGUUCAGGAAGGGCCAUUUAAUCAAUUCAUAAGAUUCAGAAAAAGCAUUUGAUAGAUAAAGUGAGUCUUGUACACCUUUGACACAAACGUACAGUGUAAAGCAUAGAAAUCUAAACACACACAAAUACUCUGAAAAAACUAUUUUUACUUUUACAGUCACCUUAGAAUGGUGGUACAGCACUUCCACGAUUUGUUCACAUCUGCCAGUGUUCCUAAUCCGCGGUCCGUUCGUAUCUGUGAAAGUUCACAACUUGAAUGUUUGUAAGUUGGGACGCUACUAUAAUAAGGAAAUUGGUAAACUGGCAAUAGACUGCAAUACUGAAGAGUAAGGAAAGACUCUAACUUGAUAAAGUGAUUCACUCAGAGGAGAAGUGGCCGGAGCAUUCUGUCAGGAGCCGCUGCCUGCCAUGGGCAGGUGUGAAGCAUGCAUACAGUCAAACAGGAAGGAGAAUGGGAGGCAGAGGGAGUGGAGAAAAGGAAAUAAAACUCACCUCCAUGGGUGGCCCAGUUGUCUGCAUAGUAAAUGUAAACAGGGAUCUAGCAAGGGCUGGCUGUGUGAGAUCAGUACAGAACUUCCUCAUUUUUCUCUAACCAUCUAUAAUUAGAAACAGUAGUUUACAUAAAGCCAGGAUUUAUAAUAGCGCCAAAAGUUCUGCGGUAUUCUUGGACAGAUCUAACAAAAGUUGUAUAGGACCUAUCAUGAAAAACUAUGGAACUUUGCUGAUGAAAAGCAUUCUAAAAGACCUGAACCACAAGUCCUGUUCAAAUACAGGAAGAGUUACUCUCAUAAAACUGUUGAAUUUACCAAAAGCUAUCUGUAGACCUAAGACCCCAGAAUGGCUUUGUGGAACUCAGUGUUGUGUUUCUCAAGCACGGUGGGCAGGGUAAAUGGUGAGGUGGCCCUGUCAACUUCGCGAGAGCCAGGACACUCUGCAGCUGUGUGCUGGGCUGUUGACCAGAGGCUUCAGGGCAAGCAGAGCUGCAGUGCUUGGCUCAGGGUGCCCAAGAGAGGUGGGAGCGCGUGCUUGGCACACGUCCACAGAGGCAGCUGCCAUUUCAUUCACAAUGGCCAGAAGCUGGGAGCAGCCCAGGCAUCCAUCAGUGGGAGGGGAGUGGCAGAGCCAUGGCACACCCUACACAGGCAGCCUGCUGUGGACAUCCCUACAGAAUGGCACAGAACCCAGGUUGCGAGCUUCCACCUAAAUGAAAUUCCAGAAGAUAUAAAUCUGUUCACCGUGACAGGCAGCAGAUCAGUGUUGGCCCUGCAGAGCCAGGGCAGGAAGGGCAGUGGGAGCUCCAUGGACUUGUCCUGCACCUUGGUCGAGGUGACAGCCAGCAGGGGCAGGUCUGUCCCCGGUGUGAGCGCUCGCACCAGCCUGCAGUCUGUUGUGCACAAACCAGGCCUCAGUGAAGUGGGAAGUAUGUCCACAGGCACAUACAUGGUUGUGUUAAGUCUAUAAAGAAAGAGUAAAAAGUUAGCACCAUAAAAAGCCAUGAUGGUUGUGUCUGGGAGGAGGAGGCCGGACUGUAAUUGAAGAAGGCACUGGGCACUGUUGCCUGGGCUCUGGUCCCAUGAGGUGACUGUGGUAUGCAGUUUUUCACUUUACUCUUUAUAUUUCGUACAUGUGUUACAAUUUGCAGAAAAAAUAAGUUUGGUUUACUGAUACCUUCCUAGAAAAGUUAAAAGAACAAGGAAGGCUACUUUUCCUAGCCAUUGUAAAGACAGAAAUCAAGCUGGGUGUGGUGGCACACACCAGUAACCCCAGCACUCGGGAGGCUGAGCCAGGAACCCUUCUAUGGGUUCAAGGAUGGCCUGAGUUACAUAAUGAGUUUCAGGCCAGUCUGGAGUACACAGUGAGACCCUGUCUCAAAAAAGAAAGAAAGAAAUUGAAAAAUAAAAUGUGGGAAUGUAAGUAAGGUCAGUGCAGGAUUGGGGUCAAUCCUCAGUACUGCAAAAAGUAAAAAAUAUAUAUGUAGGGCUGGGGAUUUAGCUCAGUGGUUUCGCUGCCUGCUGUGCAAGCCCAAGGACCCAAGUUCGAUCCCCGGUACCAAAAACAAACAAAUAAACAACAACAAAAAAAUAUAUAUAUAUAUAUGAAUGAAAAAGCUGGGGAUGUAGCUGAGUGUGAAGGCCCUGAUUUCAAUCCCCAUUACCAAUUAAAUAAAGUAAAAGACUUAGAAAGUCUCAGCUAUUAAAACUGACACUGGGCUGGGGAUUUAGCUCAGUAGUUUCGGCACCUGCUGCGCAAGUGCAAGGACCCGAGUUCGAUCCCUGGUACCUAAAAAAAAAAAACUGACACUGAUGUAUAGUCAACAGACCCUGAUGCUGGUACAGACACAAACCCCAGGGACAGCUGUGAAACACUGAACCUCGGCUUAUGAUAGUGGAUUGGCCAGUGCUGCGGAAAUCCAUAUUCACAGAUGGAGGGGUGGCGAGUGCCCGGAAGGAGCCAGCUGAAGUCACAUCCCCACCCCACCCCACAUCCAGGGUAGCUCCUGUGGGCUGCAUUCUCAGGGUCCAAAGCACCUCUGGCUGGUGUAGCUCAGUUGUAGAGCAUGCACAGCAUACAUGAGGCCCUGGUUCCAUCCCUAGCAGCAGCCCAAAACAAUAAAACAAGGGCCGGGGAUUUAGCUCAGUGGUUCCUCUGCCUGCCUUACAAGCACAAGGUCCCAAGUUCGAUCCCUGGUACCAAAAAAAGAACAAAACAAUAAAACAAAACUUUCAAUUUGGGAGAAAAUCAAGAUGAAUAUGUUUCUGAUAUCAGAGUAGGGAAAGAUUUCUAGUUCAGAGCCAGCCUGAGCUUUUGGGGUGGGGGGGAUGAGAAAGGGUCUUACUAUGUAGCCCAGGCUGGCCUCGAACUUGUGGCAGUCCUUCUGCCUCACCCUCCAAGGGCUGGGAUUACAGGUAUGUACUAUUACGCCCAGCUUUGAGCAAUUGAGCAAGACCCUUUCUCAAAAUUUUUUAAAGGUGGGGGUCUGGGGAUCUAGUUCAUGGUUGGCUUUAAUUCUCAGUUCAGAAAAAAAAAAGGAAAAACCAGCCAAGUACAGUGGUGUGCAUCUCUGGUGCUACCUACCAGGAGGCUGAGGCAGGAAGAUCACUUGAGCCCAGGAAUUUUAGAUUAGUUGGGCAACACUUUGAGAGCUUGUCGAUCAAGACUGACAAAUUAUACUACUUUGAGAUCAAGGAUUGGUCUUAAAGUGUAUUUGCAGCACAUGACAAGGAUGCUAAAAAGUGUGAAGAUACAUUAGAGAAGAGGGUGGGAAAGCCAGUUGGAAACCAGCAGGGUCGCUCUGCAGGAUGGGACUAGCAGGCAGGGGGCUGGCAUCUCGGCCUGGCCAGGAAGCCACUGGAAGCAGCCAUAAGCUCUGUCCUGCUGGGUUGUAGAGCCGUAGGGUCCUUGCCCUGCUCCCGUGUAGACCCCAGCAGGCAGCACUGGGGAAGGAAAUCGGCAGGCUGCGGGAUGCCCAGUUCCACCCAGGAGGCCAGCAGCCAGGGCUCUGCAGUGUCUUAACACGGCCCCCAAGCUGAACAAAUGCCACUGGGGAAGAAGCCAGAGAGAGAUGAUCCCACUGCAGAUGGCCAGGCUGCUGUGCAGGAUGCACGCGGAGGUCACAAACCAUGAGGGCCAGGGAGUGGCGCCUCCCGCAGAGGACGGCGGGGCAGUGCCGAGUCUGCGCCCUGGGACCCUCUUGUGCGUGUUCUGCGUGCCUAGUGCAUGUGACUCAGUCCACGGCUGACAGUGCAGGGGCACCAGUGUGGGGCACAGGUCUCAUGGGUUUCGUGCCGUGCUUGAGGCUUUGUUGGAAGCCUUGUUGUGCUUUGAAUUGGAUUUUUGUUUGUUCAUUUUUCAGUUUUUUGAGGUAUGGUCUUGGUGUAUAUAUCCCAGGCUGGCCUCGGAAGUUCCAGCCCUCUCACCUCAGCCUCCUGAGUGCUGGGACUUCAGGCGUGCACCGUGCACAUGACUCUUUGGAGAUUCUCUGGGAUGGUGCUGAGCGGAGAUGUGGUUGAUGUUUGUGAGCAGUAUCUGUAUAGAGAAGCGAGUGGGGAUCCGGCCCCCCACAGUAACACAGGCAGUCAGGCCAGAGGUGUGUGCCAAUUUGGGGGAGCAGCAGAGGCAGAAGUAGAAGCUUUGAGGAAGUGAAAGAGGUUGCGUCACAGGCUUGGCAUGGCCAGCUGGGGCCAAGGAGGGGAAUUGGGACUCUGAGACAUGGCGCCCUGCUGCUGGGUGGUCAGCACACAGCUGAGUUGGACAAAGGUUUGUGGCUGGGUGACUGAACCGCGGCUAAGCAAACACCAUUUCCAAUUUCAUUCUGAUUUCUGCCCCCAAAUUAGAGCUGGAAUGAUGAGAACUUCAGAAAUUAUGCAAGCGCUUUUAAAUAAAAGAAAUUGUUCUUUCCUUUUUUAAUACAAAAAUUGGCCAAUGUUGCCUGGGAAACAGGACAAAGCAUGUUUGUUUCCAAAGCAUUGUGCAGGGGAACCUGCAGGGCAGCCCAUGGCCCGAAGGGAGGGGGGCGAGGCUGUGGCCCUGCCUCACUGUCAUGGGCACCACGUGCACACCGUGCUGUGGGAUCGUGAACCCUCAGCUUUCCACGCUUGGUCCUGGUCAUGUGGUCCCAGCUGUGGACCAGACCCAGCACACCCCAGGAGUAUUUUACAUUAAAGUAGUUGGGGAACAAAAGAGUAUCUUGUGCUGGAUGCGCCUGAUGCAUGCCUAUAAUCCAAGCUGAGACAGGGAUCUCCAGUUCAAUUUAGCAAGACCCUGCCCCAAAAUUUAAAAAAAAAAUCAUAAUGGGCUGGGAUGGAUGCAUCACAGUGGCAGAGCACUUGCCUGCUAUGUAGCAGGCCCUGGGUUCAAUCCCCAGCCCAGCAAAAAAAACAAAAUGUGGCACAUUACAGCUGUGCAAGCCAGGGGCUUCACUGCCUGGAGUUGAGCUUGCUGUGGCCACAAGUGCAGUGUGCACGUUGGACAACUAACUAUAGGACGGGGCCUGCAGCACUGACUGGUCCCUUGCAAAAAAUGAGUGCUGGCCCCAGCAGGCACUGUGGCAGGUGAGGCCCAGGUUGCCUGCCCAACCGUGGCUCUCCCGUGCCAUCAGCCAUUGAGGACUGCAGUGCCUCUGCCUGAGACUCAGGCUCCUCCUAUUGCCCUAAGCACAUCUGUCCCUGUGGUCAGCUCAGGUCACUGCCUAGGGCUGCAGGGCGACUGUGUGACUCCCUGCUGCCCAGCCUCAGCGUAGCUGCCCAGCCUCAGCGUAGCUGCCCAGAUGGGCUGUUGCAGGGUCCUGUGUCCCGCAGCCUCUGUGAUGGCUUAAGCCUGAGAUGCCAUACCCUCUAAUCCUGCUUCCUGCUUCUGCAGCCCUGCCCUUGUCUGAGGAACACAGCUACAACCCUGUCCCUGCGCCCCAGCAGGCUGUGCUGUGGUGUGGUAGCCUUCACUGCCUGUUCAGGGAACAGAGCCUGCAGGUGUCCAUCUCCGGGCGCCUCAGAGGGGCAGCGGUGACCCAAGGCCCUUCCUCCUUGUCUAAGAUGCAGCCUCCUUAGAAGGGCAGGGUUGUGGCCAACAAGACGCCUCCCUUGGGCCUGUGGUGGGGUAGGGGCCUGCACCCCUCCCACCCCAGAGCCCAGCCCUAACGAGCACAGUGGAAAGUGAUGGCAGAAGGCAGCAGAAAAGGCCCAGGCCCAGUGGCCGCCUGCACAGGAGCCUGGCCCCUCCAGGUGCCCUGGCUGAGCCCCCAAUGAGCUAGCAAGAACACAGGGCGUCAGCCUGGCUCAAUUCCUGCCUGGCUGUGCCUGUCUCCUUCAGUGACUGUCCAGCAUUUUGUCUUUGCAGGUUCUGCUUGGACUCUGCUCGACAGACCCGCAAAGACUGUCCAUCAACUGGUCCAAUUUCAGUUUGAAGAAAGCCACCUUUGCUGCCCACUGAGUGGGGACUGCCGGAAAAGGGACGCACAGGAGGGGGCCGUCACCCAAGAGCCAUGCCUUGCAGGCCCCCUGAGCCGUGUGCCUGCCUGGGCCUGGAGCCCCAGCCCGGCCCUUGCUGCCAGCCCGGCCCGAGUUGUUAGCUCGCGUGCGUGUAGUCUGUGAGUGAGACUCCUUGAUUGUAGCCGUGCUGUCAGAUCGGAACAGUAGUUCCCACCUCUUCUUCCACCACCUCAGCCUCCGAGGCCUGGGCUGUGGCCAGAGACGAGUUUGCAUCAGCCAUGUGGCCCAUGGCCCCUGCGUCCUCGCCCCGUCCUCCCAUCUGUCCCACCGGGUGUGGCUGUCCCUCAGCUCCUGCGUGCCCUGCGAUCACCGAUCACCAAGGCGGCUGGGCGGGCAGGCCUCCUCCAUGCCCCACGAUCUACUGUUUCCGAGUGUACACGUUGCGCUGUUUGUGUUUGCCCCCGACUCGUAGCCAGCCUGUGUAAGACCCUUUGAGUGAGAACGUUGACGACAAAGCCCACCCAGCACUCACCAUCCAGUCCGUUUAGAGCGUAUGACCGUAUUAACACGGAGGCCUGCCUGGCUACUUUUUAACAUAUUGUUAAGUAAUAUUAAAAUCAUGUCUUUCUUUUUGAAAGAUGGAAUACAUUAGUACAGCAGGA
rnacentral:lncRNA from 1 species